rnacentral:rRNA from 1 species
AUUGAACGCUGGCGGCAUGCUUUACACAUGCAAGUCGAACGGUAACAGGUUAAGCUGACGAGUGGCGAACGGGUGAGUAAUGCAUCGGAACGUGCCCGGUCGUGGGGGAUAACGCAGCGAAAGCUGCGCUAAUACCGCAUACGAUCUAAGGAUGAAAGCGGGGGACCGUAAGGCCUCGCGCGAUCGGAGCGGCCGAUGUCAGAUUAGGUAGUUGGUGGGGUAAAGGCUCACCAAGCCAACGAUCUGUAGCUGGUCUGAGAGGACGACCAGCCACACUGGGACUGAGACACGGCACAGAAUCCUACGGGAGGCAGCAGUGGGGAAUUUUGGACAAUGGGCGAAAGCCUGAUCCAGCAAUGCCGCGUGCAGGAAGAAGGCCUUCGGGUUGUAAACUGCUUUUGUACGGAGCGAAAAGGUCUCCUCUAAUACAGGGGGCUCAUGACGGUACCGUAAGAAUAAGCACCGGCUAACUACGUGCCAGCCGCCGCCGUAA